ACGGGUGAGUAAUAUAUAGAUAACGUGCCUCUUAGUCUGGGAUAGCCAUUGGAAACGAUGAUUAAUACCGGAUACUCCUUCUGAUUAUAAUUUCAGUCGGGAAAGUUUUUCGCUAAGAGAUCGGUCUAUAUUCCAUCAGCUAGUUGGGGAGGUAAUGGCUCACCAAGGCAAUGACGGAUAGCGGGUUUGAGAGGAUGAUCCGCCACACUGGAACUGGAACACGGACCAGACUCC
rnacentral:rRNA from 1 species